UACGGGGGGGGCAAGCGUUGUUCGGAAUUACUGGGCGUAAAGGGCGCGUAGGCGGCCUGCUAAGUCACACGUGAAAUCCCUCGGCUCAACCGGGGAACUGCGUGUGAUACUGGCGGGCUUGGAUUUGGGAGAGGGAUGCGGAAUUCCAGGUGUAGCGGUGAAAUGCGUAGAUAUCUGGAGGAACACCGGUGGCGAAGGCGGCAUCCUGGACCAACAUUGACGCUGAGGAGCGAAAGCUAGGGGAGCAAACGGG
rnacentral:rRNA from 1 species